CUUGGGGCUGGAGUGGAGCCAAAGGAGCCAGCCCUGGGGCGCCUGCAUGGCUCAGUGGGCUGGGCCUCUGCCUUCAGCUCAGGUCAUGAUCUCAGGGUCCUGGGAUCGAGCCCCGCAUCGGGCUCUCUGCUCAGCAGGGAGCCGGCUUCCCCCUCUCUCUUUGCCUGCCUCUCUGCCUACUUGUGAUCCCUGCCUGUCAAAUAAAUCAAAAAAAAAAAAUCUUUAAAAAAAAAAAAAAAAGGAGCCGGCCCUGUGACCAGCCCUCCCUGGCACUGCGUGUGACUUUGCCUGCACGUGCUCCAAACCGCGUUCUGGGAACCAGAGCCCCUGACACAGAAGUGGAAGGACGGGGGCGUGUGGGAACCCAGUGUGGGAUCCGGGAAGCACGAGAGACGAGGAAGGAGUUCCCCGCCAGAGCAUGCAAGGGGCUGCGCCUGGCCCUUGCCUCCCGGACCGGGGCUCACUGGUCCUGCCAGAGAACGUUCUGGAAUAACCUGUUCAUGUCCUGUACCAUAGACUCCCUGUGUGUUCUCCUCCAUCGUCGCAGACCCUGGCCAACGGCACGGGGGCUCCGGGGCCUCCUGGCACCAAAGCCCUUGGUCUCUCCACUUCACCAGCGGUCAUCGGCAGGCACAGCUCGCAGGCACGGACCCUCCCGGUGCGCCCGGCUCAUCUCAUUCGUCGUCUAAUUCCGUUCCCCGCUGCCCCGAGGAGCAGGGGAGAUGGAACCGCUAGGCAGGGCUCCCCUUGACGUGCCGCAGACACACCGACCUCCCUCUCCGGCCGGCUGACUCCGCUAAAACACCACCUUGCAACCUAAGGUCCCUCCCAGAGCAGGGCCUUGGACAUGGACUUGGGUGGAGGACGUCUUUAUGGGAGGUGAGCUCGGAACCAAGCGGAAAGGAUGGAACACAUGCCUGGACCCGGGAACAGGAGAAAACGAACGAAGGGUGUGUCGAUGGCUGGGUGCGCUCUGGGGUCUGCACUCUCCCCCCACGUCCCGCGGCACCGCGCCUGGGCUGAGUGGCCUUCCGCUCCUUCCCUGAAAGCCCCGAAGGGAGCAGCAGAGGUGCGCACAGAGGGCGCGGAGGGGAGCCCUCACGCAGCUGUCCGCUGCGCCCCAGGCUGCAGGAAGGGAACCCCCGCAGGAUGUUAGCUGGAAGCUCCCUGCGGGGUCCCACCACGGGGCUAUGGGAGGGUCAGCAGAUCAGCAGGAAUGAAGGGGAGCCUUGUCACUGCUCUGGGUCCCCUCCCCCGGGGUAGGGAGCUCAGAGUAGGAGACUGGGAAGAGAUUUCUUUGGAAACAGCUGUUACUUCCUUGUGAGUCCUCACCACUUCCAGUGGGGGGCUAGU